rnacentral:rRNA from 1 species
UACUAGAGUAGCACUCGCAUAUCAAUAAGCGGAGGAAAAGAAACUAACAAGGAUUCCCCUAGUAAGCGGCGAGUGAAGCGGGAAGAGCUCAAAUUUGAAAUCUUAAAGGGUUUCCCUUUACGAAUUGUAGUUUAAAGAAGUGUUUUCUGUUGAGGUUUUGGUAAAAGUUCUUUGGAAUAGGACAUCAUAGAGGGUGAGAAUCCCGUAUUUGACCUUUACUUUCAACUUUGUGAUACACUUUCAAAGAGUCGGAUUGUUUGGGAAUGCAGUCCAAAAUGGGUGGUAAAUUUCAUCUAAAGCUAAAUAUUGGCGAGAGACCGAUAGCGAACAAGUACCGUGAGGGAAAGAUGAAAAGAACUUUGAAAAGAGAGUUAAACAGUACGUGAAAUUGUCAAAAGGGAAGCGUUUGACACCAGUGUUGUUUUUCUGAAAAUCAAUUAAAGAACUGUUUAUGCUAAGCUGUUUAGACUUUAUCAGCUAUCUGUUUAGUUUUGAGCUUUUCUUUAAUGCACUUUUCAGUUAACAAGUCAACAUCAAUUUCUUUUGCUGUAAAAAAGCUUGAGGAAGGUGGCUUGAGAUUCGUCUUAAGUGUUUAUAGCCUCUUGCCUAUGCAGUCGGAGAGAUUGAGGUCUGCAGCGUAGAUCCUUCGGGGCUAAAUGCAUUUGUGCUAAGUUAUAGCAUUUUAUAGACAACUUGUUGACUAUGAUUUGUCUUGUAGCUUACUCGCUUAUGUUAUUUUACCUACGCUUAGGAUGUUGAGUCAUCACACAUCUCU